UUCUAUUUAGCCAGUAUGCCCAUGUACAGUUAAGCAUCGGGAAGGUCUGUGAACCUGAAAUACUCAGGCAAUGAGGAAUCAGGGGAAAAGGUGAGCAUCAAGGUAAUAGGGCAUGUUCUUUGCUUUGUAAUAGGGUUUUGUUUGCUUUUCAUUAAGUAUCAUUUCUUACCAUUACGCAGCGUUUGUCUUGUCUUGUUUUUCAUGUUGCCAAUCAACAUUUAGUUGGAGCUUGGGUGACCCGAAUGCAUACAACUAAGUGUUGACCAAGUGUGAUGUGAAAUGAAGAGGGUUGGAGACUCCACUAUCAGAUGGCAUUGGCCUUUCAAGCCUCCCCGGGUUGUAGCGCUGGUUGUGCCCUGAUCCUUGGAAAGGGGAACUGAUUCCUUCAUCAUUACCUGAUGGUGACGUCUACUUAUCUUGUGUCCAGUGAGCGGUGGUGGAAAAACUGCGGCUCUCCCGAGUGGUGCAAGGACUCUACUGAGGCUCAUUGUGUUUAUAGUAGAAAACUACAGCCAUAGAUGGAUGCCAAUAUCCACUCCUUACUCUGUCUGGCAAGAUUGUUGAUCUCUGAAGUUGCUCCCACACUUGUAGAAGUUCUUUGGGCUCAGCAUCAGUUGUCUCUUGCACUCACAUGGCUUUCACCAGGUAUUCUUUCUUUUCCCCCAUCUUUAGGGCUCGCAAGUACUGAUGUGAUGUCUCUGCCUUCUGUCACUCCCACCAAACAUGGGUUUGUUCUUUUUAGGUUCAAUAUCAUUUCUUGACGUUAUGCAAUGUUUCUCAUUUUUCUUGUGUUUCAUGUUGCCAAUCUACACCUAGUUGGAGCUACAGUGAGCUCAAAUGCUGACUGCUCUGCUUUGACCAAGUGAGAUGCAAAAAGAAGAGGCCCAGAAGAUGGGAACAAAGGAGUUUCUGCUGAGAUCCCA